CAAGAAACAAGCAGGGGGGUGACAUCCCCAUUUCCAAACCCUAACUCAAGCAAAAUCCCUUCAAUUGAAGCCCCAAAUCAGUUCCAAAUCGAGCUCUAAUCACAUAUUAGUAAACACCUCGUUGUAAGGAUCAAAAGGCAAAGAGUCCGGUUCCUCUAGCGGGCAAGCCGGAGGGGAUUCACGAGGAAAAGGCGCGCUCUAAAGGUAUGAAAUUUAUCUCUGGUCGAUCAAGAAACAAGCAGGGGGCGACAUCCCCAUUUCCAAACCCUAACUCAAGCAAAAUCCCUUCAAUUGAAGCCCCAAAUCAGUUCCAAAUCGAGCUCUAAUCACAUAUUAGUAAACACCUCGUUGUAAGGAUCAAAAGGCAAAGAGUCCGGUUCCUCUAGCGGGCAAGCCGGAGGGGAUUCACGAGUAAAAGGCGCGCUCUAAAGUUCUCAGGUACCCAAGUAAAGGAUGAAGAUCAAGCAAGCGAGUCGAACCGAACACACACAUUUUUAGAACGCUUCCGCAUCCGAACUUUUGUUUUAAAAACUAUGUAAACUAAUGGUAGUUACCGUCUUGAAUGUGGUUUGUAACAACAAUACAUGUAUGUUGUGUUUAGUUUUGGGUUUAAAUGAUGAAAGUUUUUGUUAAGUCGUCAUUUUGGCGUUAAAU
rnacentral:lncRNA from 1 species